rnacentral:rRNA from 1 species
UACGAAGGGAGCUAGCGUUGUUCGGAAUUACUGGGCGUAAAGCGCACGUAGGCGGGCAACUAAGUCAGGGGUGAAAUCCUGAGGCUCAACCUCAGAAUUGCCUUUGAUACUGGUUGCCUUGAGGUCGGGAGAGGUUGGUGGAAUUCCUAGUGUAGAGGUGAAAUUCGUAGAUAUUAGGAAGAACACCAGUGGCGAAGGCGGCCAACUGGCCCGAAUCUGACGCUGAGGUGCGAAAGCGUGGGGAGCAAACAGG